GGAGAGGUGGCAGAGUGGUUGAUUGCACAGGUCUUGAAAACCUGCAUCACCGCAAGGUGAUCGGGGGUUCGAAUCCCCCCCUCUCCG
rnacentral:tRNA from 1 species